rnacentral:tRNA from 1 species
CGGGGUGUAGCUUAGCUUGGUAGAGCGCCUGCUUUGGGAGCAGGAGGUCGCUGGUUCAAAUCCAGUCACCCCGA